UACGAAGGGGGCUAGCGUUGCUCGGAAUGACUGGGCGUAAAGGGCGCGUAGGCGGAUGGCACAGUCAGAUGUGAAAUUCCCGGGCUUAACCUGGGGGCUGCAUUUGAUACGUGUGAUCUAGAGUGAGGAAGAGGGUCGUGGAAUUCCCAGUGUAGAGGUGAAAUUCGUAGAUAUUGGGAAGAACACCGGUGGCGAAGGCGGCGACCUGGUCCUUGACUGACGCUGAGGCGCGAAAGCGUGGGGAGCAAACAGA
rnacentral:rRNA from 1 species